rnacentral:lncRNA from 1 species
UUUUGACAUGUAAGACAGGACAGUUGGAAGCCCUUUCUAUAAAAAUUUACUGAGCUUAACUAAACCUCCUGGCUGGAAGCUCGAGGAAAUCAGUCACUAUGAAGCAUACUUCAUGCCAUGCCAUGCAAUAGCAGGAAUAUUUAAAAGGCUGGCCUCUUUUGUUCUGCUGCUGUGUGAGCAUAUCCAUGACCGAAUUUUGCAGAGAGGAAGAUAAGCAGAGUCCAGAAUUUCAGGGAUCCAUCCAGAAAACUUUCAUAGAAAGUCUCACCCUAUGUUUUCUUUGCCCAGAUUCAGAGCCUGUUAAAGUCAACAGGAGACCUUCCAAUGACUUCAGUGAAAAUUAGAAUAAAAUACAGACAUUAAGGUUAUUUCUGCAAAAGUCCUUCCUCACCUUCAAGCUAAUGUCAGUGGGCUCAUUUGUAAGCACACAAAGUUGUGUGAAGCGAGUCAAGAUCGCUGAAGAAACCUGACUGAUGCAGCACAUUUAUAAGCCUCCCAAACGCAGCCACAGGUAUGUGGGCAGCUGGAGUGAAACAUAUGACGGGUCUCCCUGGGGUUUUAUUACUGCCGUGUGGACGAGGUUUCUCCAGCCACCCAGACAUGUGCCAUCCACACCGCGGGAGGCAGCCAAGCCGUGCUAAAUGACCCCAGUAACACCGACCUUCAUUGCAGGGAUGAAAGAAAGAAUGAUUUCAAGAUAUAAAUAGCUUUACAAGCUGGUAAGUGCUAUAGGAGGUUAUCCAGUAAAACAUUUGGU